rnacentral:misc_RNA from 1 species
GAUGAAGAACGUAGCGAAAUGCGAUAAGUAAUGUGAAUUGCAGAAUUCAGUGAAUCAUCGAAUCUUUGAACGCACCUUGCGCCCUUUGGCUAUUCCGAAGGGCAUGCCUGUUUGAGUAUCAUGAACACACCUCAACUCUCGUGGUUUGCUACGAUGAGCUUGGACUUUGGGGGUUUUGCUGGCCUGUGGUCGGCUCCUCUCAAACGAAUCAGCUUCCCAGCGUUUGGUGGAGUCACAGGUGUGAUAACUAUCUACGCUUGUGGUCUUUACCAGAUAACCUUCGGGUUCGCUGGGGCUCAUAAUGUCUUUCCUCAGUGAAGACAGCUUUUGAACGUUUGAUCUCAAAUCAGGUAGGACUACCCGCUGAACUUAAGCAUAUCAAUAAGCGGAGGA